GAUGAACGCUGACAGAAUGCUUAACACAUGCAAGUCCACUUGAAUUUGGGUUUUUACCUUAGGUUUGGGUGGCGGACGGGUGAGUAACGCGUAAAGAACUUGCCUCACAGCUAGGGACAACAUUUGGAAACGAAUGCUAAUACCUAAUAUUAUGAUAAUAGGGCAUCCUAUAAUUAUGAAAGCUAUAAGCGCUGUGAGAGAGCUUUGCGUCCCAUUAGCUAGUUGGAGAGGUAACGGCUCACCAAGGCGAUGAUGGGUAGCCGGCCUGAGAGGGUGAUCGGCCACAAGGGGACUGAGACACGGCCCGUACUCCGACGGGAGGCAGCAGUGGGGAAUAUGGAACAAUGGACCGAGAGUCUGAUCCAGCAAUUCUGUGUGCACGAUGAAGUUUUUCGGAAUGUAAAGUGCUUUCAGUUGGGAAGAAACAAAUGACGGUACCAACAGAAGAAGUGACGGCUAAAUACGUG
rnacentral:rRNA from 1 species